AUUGAACGCUGGCGGCAGGCCUAACACAUGCAAGUCGAGCGGUGGAAGGGAGGUUGCUCCUGGAUUCAGCGGCGGACGGGGGAGUAAUGCCUAGGAAUCUGCCUGGUAGGGGGGGAUAACGUCCGGAAACGGGGGCGAAUACCGCAUACGUCCUGAGGGGGAAAGAUGGGGAUCUUCGGACCUGACGCUAUGAGAUGAGCCGAGGUCGGAUUAGCUAGUUGGUGGGGUAAAGGCCUACCAAGGCGACGAUCCGUAACUGGUCUGAGAGGAUGAUCAGUCACCCUGGAACUGAGACACGGUCCCGACUCCUACGGGAGGCCGCAGUGGGGAAUAUUGGACAAUGGGCGAAAGCCUGAUACAGCCAUGCCGCGUGUGUGAAGAAGGUCUUCGGAUUGUAAAGAACUUUAAGUUGGGAGGAAGGGCAGUAAGUUAAUAACUUGCUGUUUUGACGUUACCAACAGAAUAAGCACCGGCUAACUUCGUG
rnacentral:rRNA from 1 species